AACCUCCGCAAUGUGAGAAAUCGCGACGGGGGGAUCCCAAGUGCCAUUCUUAACGGGAUGGCUUUUCAUUAGUGUAAAGAGCUUUUGGAAUAAGAGCUGGGCAAGACCGGUGCCAGCCGCCGCGGUAACACCGGCAGCUCUAGUGGUAACAAUUUUUAUUGGGCCUAAAGCGUCCGUAGCCGGUUUAAUAAGUCUCUGGUGAAAUCCUGUAGCUUAACUGUGGGAAUUGCUGGAGAUACUAUUAGACUUGAGACCGGGAGAGGUUAGAGGUACUCCCAGGGUAGAGGUGAAAUUCUGUAAUCCUGGGAGGACCGCCUGUUGCGAAGGCGUCUAACUGGAACGGUUCUGACGGUGAGGGACGAAAGUUAGGGGCGCGAACCGGAUUAGAUACCCGGGUAGUCCUAACUGUAAACGAUGCGGACUUGGCGUUGGGGUGGCUUUGAGCUGCUUCAGUGCCGAAGGGAAGCUGUUAAGUCCGCCGCCUGGGAAGUACGGUCGCAAGACUGAAACUUAAAGGAAUU
rnacentral:rRNA from 1 species